rnacentral:lncRNA from 14 species
CUCUCCUAGGCCCUCUCGUUCAGUGUACAGAGGUCCUAUGGAGAUGAAGAAGAAGGAGUACAGAGGAAAUUCAGGGCAGCAAAAGACAGGGUAAGGACUGAAGUGUCUUCCAGAGUGUGAUGGAAAGAACAGCACCAAUCCUAAAAGCAAAGGAACAAACAGCUGCUUUAGCAGAAGUAGGUCCUGUCUAUAUCAGGGAAAGAUCUGCAGAUUACAGCAGGAAUUAACCACAGCUUUCCCAAAAGCUCUCACGUGACUUGAGUCCAAUGGUGGAAAUGUACAUACAAAUUUAUAGAGAAGUUUUAAGACUAAACAAGAUUCUGCCCUCAGCUGCAGCCCUGUAAGCACAAGAUAACUCUAUUCACAUUGCUGUAACCCAGAGCACAGUCUGAGCUCUUCAUCUUUGCUUUUCAGUGCUCACACUCCAGACAAAUCCUAUUCUGAAGACAAUUGUAUCCAUGUUAUCAGCAGGCUCACAGUCAAAUCCCUGACUUGCAGUCAUCUGCUUUACACAUAAAGUUAAGGAGAGGAGCAGGUGCUUGCAGGAUGAAAAGACUUAAUCCUCUGAUAAAAUGAACCUGUGAAUGUCGAAUGUCUUUAGCUGCCACUAGAGACGAUGAUGAAAUUGCAUAGCAAUUACAAGAUGGAGUUCUUCUUCUGCAUGGUCAGGUCCUAAAUAAGGCAAGACCUUAGUCAGGGGAAUCAACCCAGACAAGUGUUUUUGGGGAAAAGCAGACAGGGACUGCAGUAACAGCCAUUUCUUUUCAGUGUUGCUUAUGCUGUUAGCACACAUUGAUUCUAUAUACCUUGCCUAAGUGGCUGGGUUUUACUUGCUCAAGGGAAUUCUGGGGCUUGUUGGCUGGUGCAAGAGCUUGAAUAUCAUUGCAUAGUUUUACACUUUGGGAAAUCCAUAACUGCGAUCUGUGUGGGGUUUAUGUUUAUGCUUUAUGUUUAAAGCAUAAACAUUCAUUGAUAAACACUACAGGAAAUGUCCAUGUUUUCUGUAAUGCAGACUAAGAGGGGCCGGAGCAAUAGAUUGAACUUCCCUGUGUACAGCUUUUUC